ACGGCGAGUGAACAGGGAGAAGCCCAAAUUUGUAAUCUGGCACUUUUUACGAGUGUCCGAGUUGUAAUUUGUAGAACUGUUAUCCGUGCUGGACCAUGUACAAGUCUGUUGAAAAGCAGCAUCAUUGAAGGUGAAAAUCCUGUAGAUGAUAUGGACUACCAGUACUUUUGUGAUACGGUUUCUAAGAGUCGAGUUGUUUGGGAAUGCAGCUCAAAGUGGGUGGUAAAUUCCAUCUAAGGCUAAAUAUAAGUGAGAGACCGAUAGCAAACAAGUACCGUGAGGGAAAGAUGAAAAGAACUUUGAAAAUAGAGUUAACAGUACGUGAAAUUGCUGAAAGGGAAACGUUUGAAGUUAGUUUUGUAUUCGUUGGAUCAGCUUCGCAAGGAGUGUAUUCUGAUGAUAAGCAAGUCAACAUCAGUCUAUGAGUGACGGAGAAGGGUUUUGAGAAUGUAGCAAUUUAAUUGUGUUAUAGCUUGAGACUUGGAUACGAUGCUUUGGAUUGAGGAACGCGUAGUAAGC
rnacentral:rRNA from 1 species